GCGGCGGCCGUCAGUCGCCGGCAUGGCGGUGUGCGCUCGCCUCUGCGGCGUGGGCCCGUCGCGGGGAUGCCGGCGCCGCCAGCAGCGCCGGGGCCCGGCCGAGACCGCAGCGGCCGACAGCGAACCGGACACGGACCCCGAGGAGGAGCUCAUCGAGGCGGGCUCGGCGGCGCUGUCCGGGGCGGGGGACGACCGGAGCGCGGGCCCCUCGUCGCCCCCGCGAUGCUCGCUGCUGGAGCUGCCGCCCGAGCUGCUGGUGGAGAUCUUCGCGUCGCUGCCCGGCACCGACCUGCCCAGCCUGGCCCAGGUCUGCACCAAGUUCCGACGCAUUCUGCACACUGACACCAUCUGGAGGCGGCGCUGCCGGGAGGAGUACGGCGUUUGUGAGAACUUGCGGAAGCUGGAGAUCACGGGCGUGUCUUGUCGAGAUGUCUAUGCCAAGCGUAUAAACCCACGCGUGAAGUCGGGACGUUUCAUGAGAAUUCUGCCCGAUUAUGAGCACAUGGAGUACAGAGACGUGUACACUUGCCUGCUUCACCGAUACAGACACAUCCUGGGCUUGUGGCAGCCAGAUAUCGGGCCGUACGGAGGACUGCUGAACGUGGUGGUGGAUGGCUUGUUCAUCAUUGGCUGGAUGUACCUGCCUCCCCACGACCCUCACGUGGACGACCCAAUGCGGUUCAAGCCCCUGUUCCGAAUCCAUCUGAUGGAGAGGAAGUCGGCCACGGUGGAGUGCAUGUACGGCCACAGAGGGCCCCACAAUGGCCACGUCCAGAUCGUGAAGAAGGACGAGUUCUCCACCAAGUGCAACCAGACGGACCACCACAGGAUGUCUGGCGGGCGGCAGGAGGAAUUCCGCACAUGGCUGAGGGAGGAGUGGGGCCGGACACUGGAGGACAUUUUCCACGAGCACAUGCAGGAGCUCAUCCUGAUGAAGUUCAUCUACACCAGUCAGUACGACAACUGCCUGACCUACCGCCGCAUCUACCUCCCGCCCAGCCGCCCGGAUGACCUCAUCAGGCCGGGCCUCUUCAAGGGCACCUACGGCAGCCACGGCCUGGAGAUCGUCAUGCUCAGCUUCCACGGGAAGCAUGCCCGGGGCACGAAGAUCACGGGCGACCCCAACAUCCCUGCUGGGCAGCAGACGGUGGAGAUUGACCUCAGGCACCGCAUCCAGCUGCCUGAUGCUGAGAGCCUGCACGACUUCAAUGAGCUCUCCCGCGUCGUCCUGGAGGUGCGUGAGCAGGUGCGCCAGGAGCAAGAGAAGGAGCAGGAAGGCGGGCCCGAGGACGCCGAGGGUCUCGGCCGGCAGAGCCCCCAGCCCUGCGAGGAGCCACCCGCUGAGCCGGCCCAGGCACCUGGGGAUGGAGGGGCUGCGGCCGCGGCUGAGCCACCUGCCCAGUCGGGGCAGGGGCAGCCGUUUGUGCUGCCAGUGGGCGUGAGCUCAAGGAAUGAGGACUAUCCCCGGACCUGCAGGAUGUGUUUCUACGGCACCGGCCUCAUCGCCGGCCACGGCUUCACCAGCCCUGAGCGCACCCCCGGGGUCUUCGUCCUAUUUGACGAGGACCGCUUCGGGUUCAUCUGGCUGGAGCUGAAGUCCUUCAGCCUGUACAGCAGGGUCCAGGCCGCCUUCCGGAACGCAGACGCCCCGUCCCCACAGGCCUUUGAGGAGAUGCUCAAGAACAUCCAGUCCUUCACCUCCUGAUGGUCCGCCUCCCCUCGGCGGGUGGCUCAGGGCUGGGAGGGCAGCAGCAUGCGCUCGGGGGGACUUGGCCAACACCCGACACCCCCCUGCUCGCAGGAGCCUCGGCGUUGCCGCCCAGACGCUUUCCACAAAGCGCACCGCACGCCUGCAUAUCCGCCAGUAGCAACAGGAGGGCUGAGCAUGUCUUGAAAAAAGCAACAGAACCAGAGCAAGCUGAUCUGGAGGAUGGGCCAUGGGGCGUGUAGGGACUGAACUGGAGAGACUGGCUGUUUUCUAGGGAGAACACAGUCCUCCUCCAGGGAGGGUCACUCCGCAUGCAUGGGGUCUGCUGCCUCCAGCUCGUGGAAGGAGUCCUGGGGCAGGCGUGCUGGCUCCACCAUCCCCUCUGCGGGGAGCAAGCCGGAAGGCCACGCUGGCUUCCAUGCAGCCUGGGUGGGUGGGGGCGCUGUGUGCAGAAUAGGAGCUCCGGGGAGAUGGGGUGGGGCUCGAGACCCACUUCUCCACCUACUCACUUGGAUUUUGGACAAAUGCACGUCACUCCGAUCUCAGUUUCCAAGAUCAGUGAAUGGGGCCGGUGAUACAGGUCACGAGGAGAUGCCCACUGCAGGCCGUCCGGCAGCUCGGUGGCCCUGGUCCAGUGCCACCUGGCCCUGCUCCCCACAGCACAGGGUGCCUGCCAUGCCUCUCAGGUUUAGAACCGAGACCUGCGCUGCAGCUGUUAUGACAGGCAGUCACUGCGCGCCCUCCCUGCUCCCCCACCCCACACUCACUGGUGUGAGACUGAGUUGCAGCCGCCAGUCUCAGAACAGGGACAGGGCCCCUCGGAGAUGACCCACGUCUGCUCCCCUGCGUGGUUUACGAGAUGCCACUCUUGAAAGGGGCAGAACAUCGGGAGGGGUCGUGCUGGGUGUUUGACGCCCCUCUGCAGGGGAGAGGGCAGCUUUCUGGAAGUGUCAGGGGACCAGGCCCCUCCAGCAUGGAGACGCCGGCCGCUGACUCUUCCGCUGGCGCUGUCCCCGUUGUCGUGUUGACCCUGCAUUUGGGAACCCCUGCGAGGCCUGAUCUUGCCAUCCCCUGAAGAAUGGAGCCCCAUGUGCCCCGGCACAGACCUGCUGGAGUUCUGCUCAGCCCCCCCUCCAGCCCACAGAGCAUCACCACAGCUGCCUACCAGGGCCGGUGGCUCCCCAGGGUAGAUGGACUCUGUUGCGUCCCAGCUUCUUGUCCUCAGUGGGUGGACUGCGCUGAGCCCUCACUCUGGGCACCCCAGGGAGGGGGCAGCUCUGUGGUGCUUUCACGUAGAGCCCAACCUGAGGCGCCCCAUUAACUGUGUCCUGUGUUUCCUGGUAGAAUUCUUCCUGACUGGCCCUUUUCUCAAAUAACUUCAGUCCCUGCUUCAGUCCAUUUGGCUACUUGGGCCUGCCUUCCUUUGCUCAGAAGCAACAAGCUCUGGGCAUGGCCCUGAAAUGGAAACUAACCCUCCCAGGACCAGGACUCUGUGGGGGCCGCCCUGGGCCAUUGCUGGGCACCAUCAGCCGAGUCUCAUCAGAGACACCACCGCACACCUCCCAGGUCCUUCCAGCAGGACCCGCGGUCGGGUGGGGACGUGGUCCCAGUUUCUGUAUCUCGCAGGACUGAGCCUCAAAGCCUGUUGCCCUCCCCCCUCUCAUAGCGCGGCUGUUCUUCUCUUGUGCCAAGCGUGGCUGUCCCCGAUGGUGCAGCCACAAAGCCUUGAGGACAGUGAAAACGGAGGACAGCUGGGCGCUAGGCUGUUUCUCUCUAGGUUUCACCAUUGUUUAAAUAAAAUCAAGAAAAUGCGUGUUUUACCCAGAGCUAAGGGACUGUCUCUGUCUGAGGCCCCCAGCAUUGUAAAGAUGAGCACUUCUGAUUAAAAACCAAUCCUAAACUAAAUGCUAUCCUGCCUCUAGUAUCUGGCCUAUGCAUGGUUGCCACUAACAGUGACUAAAAUAACCUUGGGCUGCUGGCCGCAUUCACGUUGGCCUCCGUCUCGGGUGUCAGGUGGGGCCUGUGGGUGGCAGCAGCCUGGGUGUCGCCGGGCAGGGCAGUAGGAGUGAAGGGCGUGGGCUUGUCAUCUGCCCAGAGGUCUCCUCGUCGCCCAGCUGUACUUAGUUUACAGUUCAGUAGGUGAGGUGUGCAGAUUGGCAGUUCUGUGCACAAACCCAGUACCGGCCACUCCCCAUCAUGGUGGAUGGUCAGCCGGCCCAGGAGGGGAACUUCCAACCAGUUAACUCACUGUAGGCAAGGAUUCAAAAAGGCAGAGGGUGUUGCCUGAGGCUUUUGAUAAAUCGGUUCCAAUGGGGAUCUCUAAUGACCCAGGUUGGGGCCUGGUCAUGCUCUUGUGGGGCUUGAUCUGGGGGUGGCAGGUGGACCUUGGGUGGUCUUUGGAUGUUCCCCAUGGUGGGCAUCACCUUCACUGCCACUUUUGCUGCCGUGAGGUUGGGUAUGGGGUGGAGGGAUACCUCUCUGCAUACCUGGAGGGCUCCACGCUCUGGGAGUCGAUUAGAAACGUGAUUGGAGAUUUCAGACACAGGUCAAGGGGAUUCUUCAUGUUGGGGCUGGAGGUGUUUGGUGUGAGGCUGUGUCAAAUGACCUUUUUUUUUUUGGCUUCAUGAUGUAGGCCUGACACUAUACCCGGAUCUGUUCCUUGCCCUCCCCCCGUGCCUCCCGGGGCUCAGAGCUCCAGCAUCUAAUGCUGGCCUAAUUCUAAUUUUGGUUGUGGUUUGAGAUCAUGAAGCCCGCUUGGAGAAGAAAAACAUGCACCUGUUUGAUCUUGAAACCCCACCCCCCAAAUGAUGAAGACAGCAGUUGAGAUGGAGGCUGUGAUCACUCUCAGGCAUCUGCUCUGGCUUGCCGGGUGGGGCAGGUCAGGACCCCAGGAAGGUCUGACUUGUGACCUGGACGAUGACCUUGGGAUGCUGUUUCUCCAUAAAGCAGCUUUCGAAAUCUUG